AUUAGAGUCGUAUUCACACCUUUUAGAUGAGUCAAAUCUUCUUGCACGUCGGUCCACCUGAUUUGGAGGAAUGGGUGCAAUCAUGUCAUGUUGUUUUAAUUUCUCAAAUAAGCUUGCAUAGGACUCUCCUAUUGGUGUAAAACUAUCUUUAAACCUUUGUUCCCUUCUAUACCCCUGGCUUGGAUGUGGGUUAUAAUGUACUUGGAAAUUUUGCGGAGGCUGGUGGAGAUUUUGUGAUGCUUGUGCUAGCUUUUUUGGGUAAUUCCAACAUACUGGAGUGGAUAGUGAUGCUUAAGGGGGUCAUGGAGAACCUGAUGAGGCUGCACAUACCUUCCGGGUGUUCUCCUAGGAUCUCUUCUUGACCCUGAUAUCAUCAUGAUUUCUUCAUUCGUGUUACCAGAUUCAAUUUGGACAGCUUGAGCUGCAGCUUUAAGAGCCAUUUGACUUAUAAUCCUACCUGUCUUAAGACCAUUCUCAACCAUUUCCCCCAUUUUGAUUGCUUCCGAGAAGGAUUUACCCAUUACGGACGUCAUGUAUUGAAA
rnacentral:lncRNA from 1 species